GAGUGUGUAGCUCAGUGGUAGAGUGCUUGCUUAGCAUGUACAAAGCCCUGGGUUCAAUCCCCAGCACUUCA
rnacentral:tRNA from 1 species